CCCCUCCCCCCAACCCCUUAUGUAGCUUAUUAUAUAUUAUAUAUGUAUAUAAUACAAGUUCGUAUAUGAAUAUAAUGUAUGUAUAUAAGUUGAUGUUGCACAGAACUGUAAAUAGUUUUAGGAUUUUUGUUUCAUUGGAUUUGAUUCUAAUGGAAUUUUGAUAAGACUUUGGCUUUUUACAUAUUCUAUUCUUCUUCUUCUUCUUGAAAAAGCUAUUUGGAGGAGAUUGGAUUUUCAGUUUGUGAUAUUUGGAGAGCUGAGAAAUUGAGCGGGAAAAGUUCUUCAAGAUUUUGCUAUUGGCUUUAAAGCAAAUUGUCAUUGAUUAAAACAUUAGGACUGCUUUCAUUGAUGACCAGUCAAUUUUCUUGUCUUAUGGACAAUCAGUGUUGUCAAAGGCGAAAAGCGCAAAAAAUCUCUAAGGUCUGUUGGAGCUUUAAGCGCAAAUGAAGCGUGGACUUUAUUGAAGACGGGCACAAAUCGAGAAAAAUUACAAAUAUGUAUGUGUAGUCCAAGACUAAUAUCUAUAAGCAUGAAUACCAAAUAUAUGGACAAAGAAAUUGAAGAAAAUUUAUGAUAAGGUGAAAUAUCUAUUGUUUAGUGUAGCCUCUUCAGGAUUAAGCUCAUUGGCAAGAAAAAGUAUGUCUUAGAGCAUUGAUGACAAUACUGAAGUGCCCGAUAAGCGAGACGAAACGCUUAACAUGUUUUGAGCCUCGAUUCAGGAGCGCGCCUUUGAUACCACUGUGAACAAUCCAUUUUCUGUAUGGAAGUUUUUCAUGUCAACAAUAGCUGACUUGUGUCGUUUAAACCUCAGUCCAUACAAUGAAUUCUUCAACGUACACCCAAUUUGCUGCCUCAAGAAGGAUGGGUAUAUGCGAUCCGAUCCAUCAACUUGGCAUGUGGGAUGAUUUCAAUAGUAGUUUCCCAAGUACAUCGGCAACCAUGAUUUUAGAAGUUGAUAAAUGCCUAGAGGACCAGAUACCAAUUAUGGAGAAAAGACUAGACAACGAGACAGAAGACACUUCGCAUGGAACAGUAGGGACUUCUAACAGAUAUGAACCGGAAACAAGUAAACCCGUCGAGAAGGUACUUAGACGUCUUGCACAAAACCGCGAGGCUGCUCGUAAAAGCCGUUUGCGGAAGAAGGCCUAUGUUCAGCAGUUAGAAAAUAGUAAAUUGAAGCUGAUUCAACUGGAACAAGAACUAGAACGCGCCAGAAAACAGGGCAUGUGUGUAGGUGGUGGUGUAGAUGCUAGCCAGCUAAGUUACUCUGGAACCGCUAGCUCAGGAACUGCUGUAUUUGAUAUGGAGUAUGGUCACUGGGUAGAAGAGCAAACUAGACAAACAAAUGACUUAAGGAUUGCUUUGCAUUCUCAAAUUGGUGAAGCGGAAUUGCGCAUUAUUGUUGAUGGUUACCUGAACCACUACUUUGAUCUCUUCCGCAUGAAAGCUACGGCUGCUAAAGCUGAUGUCCUAUACAUCAUGUCUGGUAUGUGGAAGACAUCUGCCGAGCGCUUUUUCAUGUGGAUUGGAGGGUUUCGGCCAUCCGAGCUUCUAAAGGUUCUCACACCGCAUCUUGAGCUCUUGACAGAACAACAACUUCGAGAGGUUUGUAACCUGACCCAAUCAUGUCAGCAAGCAGAAGACGCCUUGUCACAAGGAAUGGUAAAACUCCACCAGAUUCUUGCCGAGGCUGUUGCAGCUGGCCGACUAGGAGAAGGAAAUUACACUCUUCCGCAGAUGGGGCCUGCCAUCGAAAAGUUGGAAGAUCUUGUUAGGUUCGUAAAUCAGGCGGAUCAUCUACGACAAGAAACCCUCCAACAGAUGUCCCGCAUCCUUAAUACGUGCCAAGCAGCUCAGGGCUUACUUGCCUUAGGGGAGUACUUUGAACGACUUCGUGUUUUAAGCUCACAAUGGGCUACUCGUCUACGUGAGCCUACCUAAUGAAGCACAAGAAGAUCCGCUGUAUAUUACUCGAGGAGUUUUGCCUUCAGAAGAUGAUGCUGUGUUAUGGACCAGAGUACUGUUGCUCACUUGGUAUCUAAACCUAUAUAAUCAGUGGCGGAGCCACACAGGUUCAAGGGCAGAUGCAAAUUCAGGAUUCCAAUGUUAUUCGAAUCUAUUAUUUGUACUUAUUUACUGGAUUUUAAACACAUAUAUGUGAUCUGAGCCAAAAACUACUAGGUUUGGAUGAACCCAUAAGUUAUACACUAGAUCGGCUCCUGCUCAAGGGUGUUCAGUUGAGCAUCCUUCGUCGGAAAAUUAUAGUGUGUUAUAUAAGUCAGAUAUUAUGUGUUGAAUCUUGAGCACACUUAGUGUAAUUCUAGGCUUCGCCAUUGAGCUAUAUUCAUUCACUUCAGGUUUGUGGUGAAUGAAUUUUACCAUCUUGCUACUUCUGGUAGGGUCUUGAGAACUUAAAUGAGAUUUUUACACAAAUAGCCAGAUA